GAUGAACGCUGGCGGCGUGCCUAAUACAUGCAAGUCGAGCGAAUGGACGAGAAGCUUGCCUCUCUGAUGUUAGCGGCGGACGGGUGAGUAACACGUGGAUACCCUACCUAUAAGACUGGGAUAACUUCGGGAAACCGUAGCUAACACCGGAUAAUAUUUUGAACUGCAUGGUUCAACAGUGAAAGACGGUCUUGCUGUCACUUAUAGAUGGAUCCGCGCUGCAUUAGCUAGUUGGUAAGGUAACGGCUUACCAAGGCUACGAUGCAUAGCCGACCUGAGAGGGUGAUCGGCCACACUGGAACUGAGACACGGUCCAGACUCCUACGGGAGGCAGCAGUAGGGAAUCUUCGGCAAUGGGCGAAAGCCUGACGGAGCAACGCCGCGUGAGUGAUGAAGGUCUUCGGAUCGUAAAACUCUGUUAUUAGGGAGGAACAGAUGUGUAAGUAACUGUGCACAUCUUGACGGUACCUAAUCAGAAAGCCACGGCUAACUACGUG
rnacentral:rRNA from 1 species